rnacentral:rRNA from 1 species
GUGGGGAAUCUUCCGCAAUGGGCGAAAGCCUGACGGAGCAACGCCGCGUGAGUGAAGAAGGCCUUCGGGUCGUAAAGCUCUGUCUUUAGGGAAGAAGGCCCUGGGUGCGAAUAGUGCCUGGGGAUGACGGUACCUAAGGAGGAAGCUCCGGCUAACUACGUGCCUGCAGCCGCGGUAAUACGUAGGGAGCGAGCGUUGUCCGGAAUUACUGGUCGUAAAGAGCGCGUAGGCGGGUAUUUAAGUCAGAUGUGAAAACUAUAGGCGCAACCUGUAGCCUGCAUUUGAAACUGGAUAUCUUGAGGGCAGGAGAGGAAAGUGGAAUUCCUAGUGUAGCGGUGAAAUGCGUAGAUAUUAGGAGGAACACCAGUGGCGAAGGCGACUUUCUUGACUGUACCUGACGCUGAGGCGCGAAAGCGUGGGGAGCGAACGGGAUUAGAUACCCCUGUAGUCC